GCAGAACUGGUAAGUUGGAAAAUCACUCAGCAGUCAGACAACUGUGGCCUGCCCCGAAAUGAAACAGGUCUUGCUCAUGGAGUGGCUGCAGCAUGCUGACUGCACAGGGGAAUGCCAAGGGCACGAGGCCUUCCUCAGAGAGUCUGAUUGUGUGCAUGAGAUGCCCCUGGGCAGGGACAACAGAAGCCAGAUCCACAGUGAUUAGCUUGGGAUAUAGCUCCAUGAUGGCUGCAGUGGGAUGGAGACCACAGAUGGUCUAUGUGAGAGUGUCAUUUUAAUCAGAAUGGCAGAGCCAUGGAGAACGCUCAGUCCCAUUAUGGAGCUGGACCUGGAACCCAGAAACUCAGAGAAAUUGAAUGAUUUGUAAAUAACAUCCACGUGGAGCCGCUGGAACUGAACUCAGGUGAUCCGCCCACCUUGGCCUGGCUUCUUUUUGCCCUUCUGUCCCUGCUGUCAUGUGAGGACACGGUGUUCCUGCCCUCCGGAGUAUGCAGCAACAAGGUGUGGUCUUGGAGACAGAGACUCGGCCCUCACUGGACACAGAACCUACCGGUGUCUUCAUCUUGGACUUCCAGCCUGCAGAACUGUGAGAAAUACAUUUCUGUUCUUCGGCUCCUAUUGGCCAGAGCCAAGCAAAGGAGGAGAGCAAGAAGCCAUGGGCACUGUCUGCGUCCACGCCACAACCUCGCAGGCAUGGCCAGGUGGAGUGGUGGGCGGCCCAGCCUGCAAGAGAAGCGGGCCCUGCUCAGCCCACCCCUGAGAUCACGCAGCCGGCACUGCCGCACACUGGCGGGACUCCGGGCCCUGCUCUCACCGCGUGAGUCUGAACAAGCCACCUCUUCUCUCUCUGCUUUAAACGCUGCGCCUGUAAAGUGGAGAUAAAACUGCAGCUCCUCCACGGGGCUUCCUUGAGGGCUAAUGAAGUAACACAGCACGGCAGCUAACACGCUGCAAGGGCUCGGCCACUGUGCGCAUCUCAGCCUCCCCCUGGGCUGCAGACCCAGCACCUGGGGCCUCACCUUCCCAGAGACUGGCCCAGGUGGUAAAGCGGCAGCGCGAACUUCCUGGGAGUGAGGGACGAGGGUGAACAAAGGACAUGGGAGGGAACAAGGGCACAUUUCCUACCCCUUAAAUGCAAACAGCUCUUCAAGGUCCCAAGAGCACUUUCAACUGAAUGGCACAUUGAUGCCGGGAGGCCAUUGGAGAAGGUGCCUUGUCUGAAUGGUGUAGACAGAGCUCCUGAGGCUCACAAAGGCUGGGCGAUGUGCCCAAGGCCACAUGGCUUGUUACCUGCGGUGCAGCCGUCAGUCCUGGAUCUGAUUCCAGAUUCUGCGUAUUUGCCAUGCACAUGUGUGUCUGUAUGCAGCCUGAGGAAGCAGGCAUAUCUGCCCAUGCUAGCGCCUGCACUUUGCACACACAUAGCCUAGAUGUGUGUGUCUGUGCUCAGCCUCCCCACAGGUACAGCAACCCUCCGAGGGCAGGCAUUGUGCCUGAUGCACCUUGGUCUCCAGCAGUGUGCAGUCAGGGCUCAGCCCACGUGUGGGCCAGUGCAGCAUUUUCUCCAGAGCCUGCUCCAGGAAGAGGAGGAAAUCUUCUGCUUGACUGUGAGAACUUACACGAAGAGGAGGGACAAGUGUGCUCUUAUCCACAUACUUUUUCUCCCUCCAUGCUGAGGUUUUUCUACCUCCACACGAUAAAAAAUGGCAAAUAAAUUAGCAUAUGAAAAUAUGUAGCAAGGGUGAAAAUGGCCCUGCAGGAGGUCACGGCCGUAGUUACAGCGUUCCAGGUUUCCAGGUGUACCUGCCACUCCAGGCUGAGUGGAAAGAAGGCCUCCCCGGAAGGGCACCGUCUCAGUGUUGGCGAGGCCAAGGCUCCUACAUGACUUUCUUCCCAGAAUCAGUGUGACAGUCCCAUGAAGGAUGCUUCAGUUCUCCAGCAAUCUCCUCUCCUGGGUGUGGGCGCUGUUGGCAAGCAAAUCAAUUGGUCCCACAGCUCUGCCAUCCAAGACACAGAGCUGAGGAGACACCCCCCAGAGAACCCCAGAGACUCACGCCUGGGCACCUGGGCCUGUUCGACGCAGAGCAACAGGCAGGCACUGGGCGUGCUGUCAGCUGAGCAGUGAAAAGGGACAAGCUGCUAUGUCAAAAAUGACACGCCGGCUUCUGCUGGUCUUGCAAAAGAGCUCUGCAGUGAUGUGACUGCAGCUGACAUCCCGCAACAGCAGCGGCUGGUUUCUGUGCUGGAUUGAAAUGCAUCCAGCUCCCUGCGUUCACAGUGAUGACUUCCAAUGCUAAUUCUCAGCGAGCCGGGCAUGAAAUAGAUUCACAGGCGCUGCUUGGUGAAGGCCCUUUGGAGUUAUUUGAGGUACCUGUGAUGAAAACAUCUGUGCCACUCGCUUUUGUGCAUUUUUGUUCCCUUGGUUUCAAUUAUGCAAAGAAUCUUUGGGCAAGAGAAAGAGAGAGGGGGAGAGUUUGCUGAUGUAGUCCUUUUCCUUUUUGAUGAGAGUGAGUGCCUGGUCUGAUGCCUGAACAGGGGAAGCAUAAGAAGGGAGGCAGACUUUCAUCUUCCGCAAAGACACAGGGACGUGCUCUGCCUCAUGCAAAUGAGCUGUUCUAAAAGCGUCCCUGUGUCCUGCUGAGCCGCCUGGGCUCCCUUAGCCCUUCUCUCCGCAGGACAAAUAAAGGGUGAGUUUACUGAGCUCAUGUCUGUGAACAUAAGUAAUUGAGGGGGACGCUGGCAGCAACGAGGGUGGGCGGGUGAUGCCGUGGAGGGAGCCCACCGCCUAGGGCGGCGCGCACAUGUGUGCUGUGCGCUUUCCAGCUCAUGUCUUUCUUUCUGGCACUGCAGCCUCGAAGAGCCUCUUCUCUCCACUGAAGGUCUACCCAUUUGUUCUCUCCUGAAGAAUGUGGCCCAAGUAUGGGGUCUACAAGAGGUUACCAGAGAUUUCAGACUCAGAGAUGGGCCAGGGUCCCCUCGAGGCAGAGACGAGCUUGGAAUCCAGGUCUUCCGAUCUCAUGGGGACUGUGGUUGGGAAAAGUCCCUGGGAGCUGUUUUUUCAAGUGCUGACUGAGUUGGUGGGCCCAUCCCAUCCCAGGGCCCCCGGUGUGGGGUGCGAUGGACACCUUGCCCGUCUGCAGACUGUUCUCGUCUACCCUGAGCUCUCAAAUCUAGUCGCUAAUGGUUUCACAGGAAGCAUCGAUCCCUGGACUGCCUGAGCCGUCUCAGCAAUGGUGGGAGAUGCAGGAAGAGUCUGCUUCCUAUUAUUCUGAAAGCAGGAGCCCCAGGCAGGGGCGGCACAGUCAUGGCUCCUCUGAGUUCUCAGUGUCUGUGUGUGGUCCCUCGACGUAGAGCAAGGGCUCCCAGGAGGCUGGUCACUGAGGACGAGGACAGCACUGCCCACAUUGGGAAGGAGGAGAGGCUGAGCAUUUCACCCAGAUGCUCAGGCACAGUCUCCAAGCCCCAUGCUGCCUCUACACCAUGAGCGCCCCAGUUGAGCACCAUCUCCUGAGCUGGGAUUUGUGUGGGGAUCUGCUCUCUUCUCUGCACAGCUGGGUGGCUCUCUUGUGCCCUCACAUGCCUGCACCAAGACCAGCUCUCCCUCUCUGCCCUCCUCAGUGACCACGAACUCCUUGCCUUCUGGUUUCUGACCUGGUUGAACGAGUGGGCGGCACUGUGAGAUCACAGCCCGGAGGCUGUGUGGGGGGAGUUUGUGCCUCCUGCCCCUGUGCAGAGUUUCCACAAGAGGAUGGGGUCCUUCACCGGUGGCCCCAGCCCCUCAGCCGAGUUCCUGAUAAAGUUCCUUGUCAGUUUGUACAGCUGCUGUAACAGAUUCCCACGUUCUCAGUGGGCACAGAGCCACCUAUGCCGAUGGUCACUGCCGGGAUGGGAGGAGUCCUGGCAGCCAGGCGUCUGUGUCAGCAGGGCCGUGCUCCUUCGGAGCCUCUGGGGGAUUCUUCACCUUUUUCUGAUCUGAGGCACCAGCCACAGUCCUCAGCCCAGGCCCCUUCCUCCCCCUUGACAGCUCGCCAGGAGCAUCUUCAGCCUCUCUCUGGCUUCAGCCUUUGCCCUCUCACUCCUUCUCUGACUCCUACAGGGACCCGAGUGAUUGCCUUGGGUCUCCUGGAUAAUCCAGGAUAAUCUCCUCAAUCCCCAAAUUCUUACUUUAAUCGCAUCUGCGAGUCUCUUUGCCAGUGAGGUGACGUAUGACAGGUCCCUGGGCAGGUCAUGGACACCAUUGGCGUCGAUGGUUCUGUCCGCCCAGGCUCCCUCCCUCCAGGGUUGCCACUGGUGGGUGCCUCACUGCUCUGUGGCUUCCUGCUCUCUGCUGAGCCUUCAGAGAGACAGAGAGACACUCGUCGUUAAACCCCUCUCCAGCGACGUGUUUCUGCUGCCUCCUCUGCACGGCCCAUCUGGGCUGCCCACAUUGGCGUCUCCUUCUCUGAGCUCAGGUCAACAGCCCUAAGCUGCCUGCACCCCUUCUCCUUUUUCCCAUCCAACAAGACUGCUGUUGAAGAGUGGGAGGGUGAUACGGAUAUCGCUGCUGGCGGAUGGACCCGGCAGGGAAGGAGAAUGUCCCCUCAGCUCUCUGCUGCCCGCAGGCCGUGCAACUCUGACCUGCACAUGUGCUCUCUGGGCUGCAAACCAUCGCCCACUCAGACCAGUGUCCUUCAGCAGCUCCGGAGGCUGGGGACAGCAGGCCCUCGGCUGGCCCACCUUGUAUCCCCUGUGCCCUGCACUGAGCCGGUACUGAGGUCGACACCUACUGGUGAGGCUCACACCAGGCAUUCCCUGAGCCUCCUUUUUUUGUGGCGCUCAUUGCAUUUUGGUGAAAUUAUUUAUUUAGCCAUUGCUGCAUUUUCUGUUAUGGUAUCCGUGUACCAAGUUCUCUCUCCUUAGACCAGGAGGCAUGUGCAACAGGCCUGGGAGGUGCCCCCAGUGGCUGCCGAGGAGGCCGGGGGAGGACACAAAGGCGGCCGCGUUGACCCCCAAGGUUGUGAAAGCACCAUUCCUCCUGGGUGUUUCUCCACAUGGGCUUCUUCCCUCCUCCUCUGCCCUCAGGGCCUGUUCUGCUGCCACUGCCCUCUGAUUACGGAGAAAUGGGGCACCCAGCUAAGAAACCAGCAGCUCACAACCAGUGAGGACAAGCUUUGUACUUGAAAAGAAAAAGAAAGAAAGAGGGAAAUUUUCAACAUAAAGACCUGGACUGUAAAUGGAAGAAUUUCAGGCCCAAAGCAAAUAAAAUCUGGAAGUAACAGGCCGCUCCCCACCCUCGGGCUCUGUCUGACUCCACGGUCAGAACUCCCUGCAUCCGCCUCCUCCCUCCAGGCUUCAGCGGGCUCAGGUGGAGCGUGAGGCUGGAGUGCACGGUGUGGGUUCCAGCAGUCCAGAUCCCUCCCACCCCACCACUUCUCACAAGGAUGCAAAGACCCCAACAAGUCUGAGACCCCUGUUUCCACCUGGCUGGAGGGGUCUGGCAGGGUCAUGGGAAAAGCCCAGCCUUGCUAGAAUCUGCUGGUCGUGGAUGAACAGUCACCCCAGCACUUCACUUGCCUUCUCUGUCCUCCAGUUUCCUCAUCUGUAACGUGGUUACUCAUACCCAACUGGCAAGGUUUUCAUGGGAAGGAUGCUCAGGACAGCGCCCAGCAUGCAUUCCUUACUGAACAAUGUGGAUUGCUUCCUUUUCACUAGUGUCUCGCUUCAGUCUUAUUCCUAGGACAGAGUUAUCCACAAAGAAGAAGUACGAUCCUAGGGAGGGAAGGAGGAAUGAGGGGAGGAGUGAACGGCAACCUGUGUGGCCAAGACAUCACUCAGGAAUGUCCUUGACAAUGCCGGGCGCGGUGACUCACGCCUGUAAUCUCACUUCGGGAGGCCGAGGUGGGCGGAUCAUGAGGUCAGGAGAUCGAGACCAUCCAGGCUAAC